rnacentral:rRNA from 1 species
AACAAACGCUGGCGGCGUGCCUAAUACAUGCAAGUCGAACGGGGAAAGCUUUCGGGUGAGUACUAGUGGCGCACGGGUGAGUAACGCGUGGAUAAUCUGCCUUAGAGUGGGGGAUAACUAGUCGAAAGAUUAGCUAAUACCGCAUAAGACCACAAGAACUGCGGUUCAAGAGGUCAAAGGUUUUUCGCUGUAAGAUGAGUCCGCGUAAGAUUAGCUAGUUGGUGAGGUAACGGCUCACCAAGGCAACAAUCUUUAACUGGUCUGAGAGGAUGAUCAGUCACACUGGAACUGAGACACGGUCCAGACUCCUACGGGAGGCAGCAGUAGGGAAUAUUGCACAAUGGAGGAAACUCUGAUGCAGCGACGCCGCGUGAGUGAUGAAGGCCUUCGGGUCGUAAAGCUCUGUCGCAGGGGAAUAACACAAUGAAUGUACCCUGUAAGAAAGGAUCGGCUAACUUCGUGCCAGCAGCCGCAGUAAUAC